CAGCAGCCGCGGGAAUACGUAGGUGGCAAGCGUUGUCCGGAAUUAUUGGGCGUAAAGGGCUCGCAGGCGGUUUCUUAAGUCUGAUGUGAAAGCCCCCGGCUCAACCGGGGAGGGUCAUUGGAAACUGGGAAACUUGAGUGCGGAAGAGGAGAGUGGAAUUCCACGUGUAGCGGUGAAUGCGUAGAGAUGUGGAGGAACACCAGUGGCGAAGGCGACUCUCUGGUCUGUAACUGACGCUGAGGAGCGAAAGCGUGGGGAGCGAACAGGAUUAGAUACCCGCGUAGUCCCUGUCUCUUAUACC
rnacentral:rRNA from 1 species